rnacentral:tRNA from 1 species
GGCGGAUUACCCGAGCGGCCAAAGGGGGCUGACUGUAAAUCAGCUGACUACGUCUACGGGGGUUCGAAUCCCUCAUCCGCCA